AUACUCAAAAUGGUGAUAAAAGGAUGUGUAAAACAUGCAAAUUAUAGACAUAUCACAGAGAUAAUAUCCCAUCUACCCUGAGUAUAACCAAUGAAGCUCUAAUGGUAAUCCCAUCUCCAAUCCCAAUAUAAGAACUUAACUCUACCCUUUGCAUUCAUGAAUCUUUUAAUCCCUUUUUCUAAUCAUUCUUUUCUUUUCUAUUAACUCUAGGAGAAGCUUUCUCAACACUUUGAUACAUCUAGCGGAUUUGGAUUUCUUUAACAACUAAGGUUCCUGUUUAAAAAUUUUAAAACCGAGGGCUUUUGUCUUUCUUCAUUAGCUAACAAGAACUCUUUCUUUUCUUUACAAAUCCCAAAACCUUUACUAGAAUUUUUCUGCUUCUUUAGCUUACUUCACCUAGAGUCUUUUACCUUUUCUUAUCAAUGAAUCCACCUUUUUUUUCUUUUAGACACAUUCCAACCCAAAGUAUAAGCGCCCACCUAGUCCUAUCUAGUCCGGAUAACGCGAACUAGAACUACAUGAGACACUAUCUCUGUCAUUACGAACCUAACACUUUCUACCAAGCUUAAUCGGAAUAAGACCUCACAAACACUCACAAGUGAUAUAGGGCUUGAAAGAAAGUUUAGGUUUGAGUUCGGGUUUAACUGCUCUAAUAAGGAGAGUCAGCUACUUGGAUUAACAAGAGUGGUUAAAAUGAGUAAA
rnacentral:sRNA from 1 species